rnacentral:rRNA from 1 species
GACAGAGGCCUCGAGCGUUAGGCGGAAUCACUGGGCUUAAAGCGUGUGUAGGCGGAUCGUUAAGUGCCUUGUGAAAUCCCACGGCUUAACUAUGGAACGGCUGGGUAUACUGGCGGUCUUGGGCCACUCAGGGGCGAGCGGAACAAGUGGUGGAGCGGUGAAAUGCGUAGAUAUCACUUGGAACGCCGACGGUGAAAACAGCUCGCUGGGAGUGUGCCGACGCUGAGACACGAAAGCCAGGGGAGCGAACGGG